GCGAGAGACAUAGAAAGAGAUUAUUAUUAAUGUUACUACAGUAUUUUUAAUAGAGAAUAUGUAUGUGUGCCUUUGUAACGCGUGUGGAGGGAUAAUCUGACAUACAUAAAUUUCGACUUGCGUAAGGGGUGGAAGAACUGUCUUUUUGCAUAAGUUGAGUGGUGUCUGUACAUGAAAAGUUUACUGUGAUCCUAAUUGCUUAAGAGUCUGCUGACAACAGAUGGAUGGAUACAAAGAGGAAGGCAGAUCAUGGGUGAAAAAUUCGCCCUAUUUAUUUUGAUAUAUGCAAUGAAAAUUUGAUUCUACAGCUUUACUAUGCCUAUAUGCUUAUGUAUUACAAUGUCUAACUAGUGAAACAGCCUAUGCAAGAACGCGCCACAUUCCAGGCAGCAGUUUGAUGCAGUUAGUCUCUUUCUGUGUCAGCUUAUUCCCAUAAGAUAUCAGGAGGAAUACAGAAUUAUGUACUUCCCAGGAGACUGUGUGUAUUGAGAGUGAUAACACUGGAAACAGUUGAGUGUUUUCAUGAAAGGACAAGAGAUUGGGGGGGCACCUUGACCUGUUUUGGAUGAUGAAACAAAACGUAUCUCACCCAUGCUUGUGAAGAACCUCCCUAGAAUGUGUAUAAAUAUCUGCUUGCUUAACUGCUGGGGUGUGACUCUCUCUAGGAGGCUCACCCAUGUGCACAUAAAUAAAUAAAGUUUUCUGCAAUCUGAGUGACUUGCCAAACUGAAUCUUUUCAGAUAUGUGUCACUGUCACUGGCACCCCUGGCGUGCCCGACAGCUGCACUCCUAGCAACAGUGUGCUUGAUGACCACCAUGAGCUCCCCGGUGACAACCCCAGAGACGCAGUAUAAAAGUACCCGCUCCGACGCACCUGGCCGUGGAACCUUCAACUGAGAGAUGUUCUCCUCACCUAUCUUCCGAGGCUCACUGUUCUGCUCUGUUCUGUAGGUGCAACCGUAGUGUGAUACAAAGGAAGCAACUUGAGCAUCAGUAUGAUGCCCUGGUGGGCUCACAUGAUCAAUCCCUGCGCAAGAUGGAGGAUACCCUCCAGGAGAUGGUGCAAGUGUUCCGGUCCUGUGGGACAAUGCAAUCCACCAGGGCUUUCUAAUGCAAUGUGAACUCGUGUUUGAUAACUUUCGUAAACCUGUCAAAUGGACAAAACAAAGAUUGCUUACCUGAUCUCCCUCCUCACAGGUCCUGCGUGGCGCUGGGCCACGGGUGGGUGGAAGUCCAAUGCCCCCUCCACCUAUGAUACUUUUAAGAAAUGCUUGAAGACGGUGUUCGAUCAUCCACUCUCUGCUCAAGCUGCCCAUGACCGCCUGAUGAAGAUCCGGCAGGGUGACCACUCGGUGGCUGAAUACUCCCUGUAAUUCCGGACCCUGGCCGAACAGAGCGGGUGGAACUCCACCCCCCUCUUAGCCAGCUUCCGAAACAGGCUCCACUCCUGGAUCCAGGUGGAGCUCGCCUAGCAGGGCUAGGAUUGGACAUUCGACCGCUUUCUGGAGACAGCACUAACCAUUUACAAUCUCCCCUGAGAGAGAACCCCAUGUCUGUGGCAGAACACCGCCACUCUGAGCAAACUCUCAAACCGAUGCAGAUCGGCCUAGGCCGACUGGACCCUGACUAGAGACAGCGCUCCUAGAUUCUCUUAAACGGCGAGGGGGCCUGCAGUACCUGGUGGACUGGGAAGGCUAUGGCCCGGAAGAGCAAUGUUGGGUGCCCACGCACAAUGUUCUGGAGCCUGUUCUUGUUGCUGAUUUCCACAGGUCCCAUCCGGACCGGCCUGCGCCCCGCCCCAGGGGCCGUCCUCCCUCGCACCAUAAGGCAGCUGGUGCCGCCAGUAGGGAGGGGGUACUAUCACUAUCACCGGUGCCCCUGGCGUGCCUGACUACUAUGCACCUAGCAACCGCGUGCUUGACGACCACCACAACCUCUCUGGUGACAACCCUGGAGAGGCAGUAUAAAAGUGUCACGCCCCCAGGAUCAAGCUGAACGACUGCAACUCCAGCUUGUCAACCUGGCCAGUCAAGUCUCCACAUUUGUGAAGAUGAUCGUGCCAGAGGGGGCCCUGGUGUUUCAUGAGAAAGCCUGGAAUGCAUACCGUUACUGCUGCACAAUUCCCCAAAAUGCUGUGGACAGAGAGAUGUGUAAACAAGAGGAAGUGCUGAAUGGGGCAUGCAGCACAGACGGAGGUCUUUGUACUCUGGUUCCAGAGUAAAGAGAGCUGAACAGCUGCUUUCAUGGUGGAAUGGAUCUUCCUAAGAACUACAAGGAGGAAGAGGACAUCACUCUGUUUUAACGUGUGAAGACUGGCAGGGGGCCCCUGGUGCCCAACUGGGAAGUACCGUUCCUCCACAAUGAGGGCGUACGACAGAGAGAAAGAAAGCGAGAGAGAGAGACACUCUGGCAGGGCUCUGUGCUGAUCUUUGAUGAAGACAAAUGGCUGCUUUCUUGCUACUAAUUCCUUGUAGUAGAAGUGCAGAAGAUGGGGUCAGAGUGGGUGCUCUAUUGUCAGGCGUGCUCUAAGCUGACACGUCUGUCUACCCUGGAGCACAUGUGGCUGCUUGACCUGUUUUUCCCCUGGUAAGCAGCAGGUGGCGGAGUGUGUAUGGACCACGACUUGGAAUCACAUUGUUUCUUAUUCACGCUCUCCAUGGCAACAUUGUAUUCCAGGCAUUCAUUCAGUAUAAAUGAGUGUAACUGUGUGUGCUGUUUAGAAUUAAUACUGGUAAACUAUGAAGCAGCAAUGGUAAAUAUACUGGUACCUCACUAUGAACAGCUUUGAAUUUUCAAAGAACCAUUUUUAUUUUAUUCACUUUUAAUGACAAGGCAGCACAGAGACACAGCAGGUAUAGAGUUGCAACCUCAUAGCACUUGGUCUGUAUGGGUGUAAGCUGAAAUACAGCUCAGUCAUGUUCUUCUCGUGUCCACUUGGAUUUCUUCCCAUAGUCCAAAGACAUUGCAGUUCAGGAGGAUUGCUGAAUUACCUGUAGUGAGUGUGUGUGGGGCUGUCCUCCUAUCCAGGGUGUACACCCCCUCAGCCUUGUGCCCAGCGAUUUUAGGAUAGGCUCUGGAUCUUUGCAACCCUGACAAGGACAAAUGGUUAAUGAAAGAGAAUGAGUGAGCAAGUAUUUUUUAAUUGGAUAUUUUCUUAAUUUGUUUAUUUUCCAACUCUUCUGUGUGUAAGGGGGGCAUGGUGGUGC